CUUCCUACGGGGCGCAGCAGUAGGGAAUCUUCCACAAUGGACGAAAGUCUGAUGGAGCAACGCCGCGUGAGUGAAGAAGGGUUUCGGCUCGUAAAGCCCUUUUUGUAGUGAAGAAAAAUAGAGGUAGUAAAAGGCCUUUAUUUGACGGUAAUUUCUUAGAAAGUCACGGCUAACUACGUGCCAGCAGCCGCGGUAAUACGUAGGUGGCAAGCGUUGUCCGGAUUUAUUGGGCGUAAA
rnacentral:rRNA from 1 species